AGGAUGAACGCUGGCGGCGUGCCUAAACAUGCAAGUCAUACGGGUCUACCUUCGGGUAGCCAGUGGCAAACGGGUGAGUAACACGUGGGAACGCGCCUUGGGGUGGGGAAUAACGCUGAGAAAUCAGUGCUAAUACCGCAUAUGGUCUAACGACUAAAGCAGCAAUGCGCCCCGAGAGCGGCCCGCGACCGAUUAGCUAGUUGGUGGGGUAAUGGCCUACCAAGGCGGUGAUCGGUAGC
rnacentral:rRNA from 1 species